rnacentral:lncRNA from 13 species
GCCCACAGGAGCAGUCCCAUGAAAGGUAACAAGACCUAUGUUCAACCUGGAACCAAUAAUGAAAAUGAAGGAAAGCAGGUCUGAAUGCUGAUUGCUAAGUGUCCUAGAGCAGAUGAGAACACUGAGAUUCAGGGACAAUAAGUGGCUUGCCUGAAGUCACAGAGGAAAUGCAACAUGGAGCUGGGAUUUUAACCUGGAUUUCUCUGAUUCCAAACGCUUCCAAUUCUGAAAUACAUCUGGAGUCUGCCAUUCAUCACCCUCAUCCUAAGAAACAAAAAGAUAGAAGUAGAAACCUG